rnacentral:rRNA from 1 species
UCCUGGUUGAUCCUGUACGUGAUGUCACUGAAUAUCGUGUUCGAUUAACGCCAUGCGAGUCGAGAGUGGUUCAGACCCUCGUGCGUGACUGCUCAGUAACACGUGGAUAACCUGACCUGUGGUGGAGCAUAACCCCGAGGAAACUGGUGUGAUAAUACUCCAUAAGUUACGAUAUCUGGAAUGACUUUGUACGCUCAAAGCUCCGGCGCCACAGGAUGGAUCUGCGGCCGAUUACGGUCGUAGUUGGGGUAGAGGCCCACCUACGCCUGUAAAUCGGUACGUGGUUGUGGGAGCAAGCGCCCGGAGAUGGAAUCUGAGACACGAUUCCAGGCCCUACGGGGCGCACGCAGGCGCAGAAAAACUUUACAAAUGCAAGGACAACUUGUGACUACAGCGAACCACCGAGUUGCCCAGUACACAGCUGGCUGUCUGAGGUGUAUAAAAUGCACCCAAAGACAGGGC